AUUGAACGCUGGCGGCAUGCUUUACACAUGCAAGUCGAACGGCAGCGCGGGCUUCGGCCUGGCGGCGAGUGGCGAACGGGUGAGUAAUACAUCGGAACCUGCCCGGUAGUGGGGGAUAGCUUGGGGAAAGCCGGAUUAAUACCGCAUACGACCUGAGGGUGAAAGCGGGGGAUCUUCGGACCUCGCGCUAUUGGAGCGGCCGAUGGCGGAUUAGCUAGUUGGUGGGGUAAAGGCCUACCAAGGCGACGAUCUGUAGCUGGUCUGAGAGGACGACCAGCCACACUGGGACUGAGACACGGCCCAGACUCCUACGGGAGGCAGCAGUGGGGAAUUUUGGACAAUGGGCGAAAGCCUGAUCCAGCAAUGCCGCGUGUGUGAUGAAGGUCUUCGGGUUGUAAAGCACUUUUGGCGGGAACGAAAAGGACUGUGCCAAUACCACGGUUCGAUGACGGUACCCGCAGAAUAAGCACCGGCUAACUACGUG
rnacentral:rRNA from 1 species